UACGUAGGGAGCAAGCGUUGUCCGGAAUCAUUGGGCGUAAAGCGCGUGUAGGCGGCUUGGUAAGUCUGCUCUGAAAGCCCGGGGCUCAACCCCGGGAGGCGGGUGGAUACUGCUGAGCUCGAGUCCGGAAGAGGCGAGUGGAAUUCCUGGUGUAGCGGUGAAAUGCGCAGAUAUCUGGAGGAACACCGGUGGCGAAGGCGGCAUCCUGGACCGGCAUUGACGCUGAGGAGCGAAAGCCAGGGGAGCAAACGGG
rnacentral:rRNA from 1 species